AUUGAACGCUGGCGGCAUGCUUUACACAUGCAAGUCGAACGGUAACAGGCCGCAAGGUGCUGACGAGUGGCGAACGGGUGAGUAAUGCAUCGGAACGUGCCCAGUCGUGGGGGAUAACGCAGCGAAAGCUGCGCUAAUACCGCAUACGAUCUAUGGAUGAAAGCGGGGGACCGUAAGGCCUCGCGCGAUUGGAGCGGCCGAUGUCAGGUUAGGUAGUUGGUGGGGUAAAGGCUCACCAAGUCGACGAUCUGUAGCUGGUCUGAGAGGACGACCGGCCACACUGGGACUGAGAAACGGCCCAGACUCCUACGGGAGGGAGAAGUGGGGAAUUUUGGACAAUGGGGGCAACCGUGAUCCAGCAAUGCCGCGUGCAGGAAGAAGGCCUUCGGGUUGUAAACUGCUUUUGUACGGAACGAAACGGCUCUGGUUAAUACCCGGGGCUAAUGACGGUACCGUAAGAAUAAGCACCGGCUAACUACGUGCCAGCAGCCGCCGUAA
rnacentral:rRNA from 1 species